rnacentral:rRNA from 1 species
AUUGAACGCUGGCGGCAUGCCUUACACAUGCAAGUCGAACGGUAACAGGUCUUCGGAUGCUGACGAGUGGCGAACGGGUGAGUAAUACAUCGGAACGUGCCUAGUAGUGGGGGAUAACUACUCGAAAGAGUGGCUAAUACCGCAUGAGAUCUACGGAUGAAAGCAGGGGAUCGCAAGACCUUGUGCUACUAGAGCGGCCGAUGGCAGAUUAGGUAGUUGGUGGAAUAAAAGCUUACCAAGCCGACGAUCUGUAGCUGGUCUGAGAGGACGAUCAGCCACACUGGGACUGAGAAACGGCCCAGACUCCUACGGGAGGCAGCAGUGGGGAAUUUUGGACAAUGGGCGCAAGCCUGAUCCAGCAAUGCCGCGCGCAGGAUGAAGGCCUUCGGGUUGUAAACUGCUUUUGUACGGAACGAAAAGCCCCGGGUUAAUACCCUGGGGUCAUGACGGUACCGUAAGAAUAAGCACCAGCUAACUACGUGCCAGCAGCCGCCGUAA